rnacentral:misc_RNA from 1 species
AAGUCGUAACAAGGUUUCCGUAGGUGAACCUGCGGAAGGAUCAUUAACACGUAUCCAACGUUAAACCCCCCGUGAACUUUUAUUGCGAACCACGCCUUUGUUAGAAAGUAGCAAUCCCUGGUAAAUCAUCGCCGAACAGUUUUGAUUCAGGGAUCUCUGCGAAGAGAGCGGUUGUAGCGCGAGGUAUGUUAGUGUCUGACAGUGUCACUAGCUCUGUACGAGUGGCGCAGUCACGAUCGCUAGAGGCCGACACGGCCGGCGACCGGGUCACCGGGCAUAGACCCCCCUAUCACCUUUGCAUGAAAACGGGCCUGCGCUUAAUUGUGCGGCCACCAAACUCGAACAACUGUUAACAAUGGAUAUCUUGGUUCUC